rnacentral:snRNA from 1 species
GUGCUCACUUUGGCAGCACAUAUACUAAAAUUGGAAUGAUGCGGAGAAGAUUAGCAUGGCCCCUGCACAAGGAUGAUAUGAAAACAUCAUCAUGAAGCCUUCCUUAUUUUU